GAUGAACGCUGGCGGCGUGCCUAACACAUGCAAGUCGAGCGAAAACACGAGGAGCUUGUUCUCUUACCGUUAGCGGCGGACGGGUGAGUAACACGUGCAUAACAAACUUCUUAGUCUGGGAUAAUAACGGGAAACAGCUGACACUAAUAGCUCAUAUAACCUACGGCUGGAAUCAAUAGAGAUUCGCGCCUUUGCUGACUCAAUUAGCCGGUUUCGCGUCGCAUUAGCUAGUUGGUAAGGUACCGGCAUACCAAGGCGACGAUGCGUAGCUGAGCUGAGAGGAUGAUCAGCCACACUGGAACUGAGACACGGUCCAGACUCCUACGGGAGGCAGCAGUGGGGAAUCUUGGACAAUGGGCGAAAGCCUGGCGCAGCAACACCGCGUGGGUGAAGAAGGUCUUCGGGUCGUAAAGCUCUGUUGUUGGGAAAGAACAGAUGUGGAUGAAUCCAUGGACGUCUUGACGGUACCUAAUCAGUAAGCCACGGCUAACUACGUG
rnacentral:rRNA from 1 species